GACGAACGCUGGCGGCGUGCUUAACACAUGCAAGUCGAACGGAAGGACCCUGCGUUUGUGGGGUGCUCGAGUGGCGAACGGGUGCGUAACACGUGUGUAACCUGCCCUUGACUUUGGGAUAACUUCAGGUAACUGGGGCUAAUACCGGAUAGGAGAUCCUGUUGCAUGGUGGGGGUUGGAAAGUUUCGGCGGUUGGGGUUGGAUGGGCGGCUUAUCGGCUUGUUGGUGGGCGAGGGGCUUACCAAGGCAUUGACGGAUAGGCCGCCUGAGAGGGUGGCCGGGCACCAUGGGACUGAGGGACGGCCCAGACUGCUACGGUGGGCAGCAGGGGGGAAUCUUGUACAGUGGGCCGAAGCCGGAUGCGGCAACGCCGCGGGCGGGAAGACGGCCUUCGGGGUGUAAACCGCUGCCGCCUGUGACGAAGCGUGAGUGACGGUAAUGGGUGAAGAAGCACCGGCUAACUACGUG
rnacentral:rRNA from 1 species